rnacentral:rRNA from 1 species
UACGUAGGGUGCAAGCGUUAAUCGGAAUUACUGGGCGUAAAAGCGUGCGCAGGCGGUGAUGUAAGACAGAUGUGAAAUCCCCGGGCUCAACCUGGGAACUGCAUUUGUGACUGCAUCGCUGGAGUGCGGCAGAGGGGGAUGGAAUUCCGCGUGUAGCAGUGAAAUGCGUAGAUAUGCGGAGGAACACCGAUGGCGAAGGCAAUCCCCUGGGCCUGCACUGACGCUCAUGCACGAAAGCGUGGGGAGCAAACAGG